UGGAUGCCUUGGCACUAGGAGCCGAAGAAGGACGGGACUAACACCGAUAUGCUUUGGGGAGCUGUACGUAAGCGUUGAUCCAGAGAUUUCCGAAUGGGGGAACCCACUAUCUUUAGUCGGAUAGUAUCCUUACGUGAAUACAUAGCGUGAGGAAGGCAGACCCAGGGAACUGAAACAUCUAAGUACCUGGAGGAAGAGAAAGAAAAAUCGAUUUCCUGAGUAGCGGCGAGCGAAACGGAAAGAGCCCAAACCAAGAAGCUUGCUUCUUGGGGUUGUAGGACACUCUAUACGGAGUUAC
rnacentral:rRNA from 1 species